rnacentral:rRNA from 1 species
AACGAACGCUGGCGGCAGGCUUAACACAUGCAGGUCGAGCGCCCCGCAAGGGGAGCGGCAGACGGGUGAGUAACGCGUGGGAAUCUACCCAUCUCUACGGAAUAACGCAUGGAAACGUGUGCUAAUACCGUAUACGUCCUUCGGGAGAAGGAUUUAUCGGAGAUGGAUGAGCCCGCGUCGGAUUAGCUAGUUGGUGGGGUAAAGGCCUACCAAGGCGACGAUCCAUAGCUGGUCUGAGAGGAUGAUCAGCCACACUGGGAUUGAGACACGGCCCAGACUCCUACGGGAGGCAGCAGUGGGGAAUAUUGGACAAUGGGCGCAAGCCUGAUCCAGCCAUGCCGCGUGAGUGAUGAAGGCCCUAGGGUUGUAAAGCUCUUUCACCGGUGAAGGUAAUGACGGUAACCGGAGAAGAAGCCCCGGCUAACUUCGUGCCAGCCGCCGCAGUAACAC